CACUACGAGUGCAAAUAGCCCAACCAGGGAACAAUAAAUAAAACAUUUAUAGAAAUAAACCAGUUAAUCACGGAAAUAUCUGCCAAAUUCCCAUCUAUAAAUCCGACGGUAAAUGUCGUUAGAAGUUUUUACAGUAGCCAAUUCUGACACCCGAAUCUCGCAUUUUCCAAGAAGAGGGGGACGUGAUAGAGUCAAAAGAACACGCAGAACGAAACCACCCUUCCAGCUCUACAGCGGUCUCCAUUUUAACUGUUUGCCCUGUCGGUACCUCACGUGUUCUGGACGGUCUUUCUCACAUGACCCUUGUUUGUCCCCGUGAUCAGUACUUCCAACUCCGUUUUUCAGUGUCGCGGAAUAUCACAUUUUAAACUGUAACCUUCAUGGAUAUGCAUGAACAGAGUUUGGACAGCUCUACAGGGAAAUCCGAUUGGCAGCCAUUUAUUAAAAUGGCCGCACUGGUUGACUGACAUGCUUCCCAGACUGCCUCCAAUCUUUAAAAUGUUCGUUAAGUCACGAGAAACAGGAAACAGAGGAGAUUUUCCAACUGGAAGGUGUGGGGACGGAGGAGCAGACUGCAGCUACCAUAGAGAGUGUACAGCAGGCCGCAGCUUUUGCGGAUCAUAAUGUUCAAUACCAGUUCCGCACAGAGAACAGUGGAGGACAGGUGACCUAUCGUGUGGUCCAAGUGACAGAUGACCAGCUAGAGGCAGCAGGCGACGGGACUGGAGCAGUCAGUGUGGUUUCCACUGCUGCAUUUACUGGAGUACAGCAAGCAGUGGCACAGGUGUAUGUGUUGGCAUGGCAUACCCUAUCAUCUUAGGGGAGUAGUGCUGUCUAAUUUGCCUUUUCUCUCGCUCUCUCUCUCUCUAGGCUGUCAUUCAGAACCCCUUCAGUAAUGGGGGUAGUCCAGCGGGGGAGACAGUGGGUGGGGAAACGCGUUUUGCCUAUUUCCCUGCUGCCACAGUCAGUGUCAGUGAUGGGGCAGCCACAGCAGUGUCGGUGCAGGCUGACCCAACACUCACACAGGCCGGAGGUCAGUUCUAUGUGAUGAUGAGCCCACCUGAUGUGUUGCAAGCUGGCACGCCAAGGACCAUUGCCCCUCGCACACAAACCUACACCACGUGAGUACGGCUUCACCUGCCACACAGUUUAGUGUUCCAUACACAUUCAUCACUCCCCAAUGCUCCUCCAUCUAUGUGGUUCAUCUCACUUCUCCCUCCCAACUCCACAUUGGAAUGGACUUUCCCUAGCUAAACCUUCAGGAAAUUAUCACCUCUUUGUAUUUACCCGCCAAUUUUGGCAUGAUUGGUUUGUGAUUGUGUGUAUCAUGAGAAAACAUUCAAAAGAAAUCAAAACAUAAGAGAACAAAACUGUCCCACUUGCCUACUAUCCCCAGAGACCACGGUGAAAAUGAGAUACUACAGCAUGGCAGUUCAAACUGGAAGAUGGAUGGUCCACGGGCACCUAGGGAUGAGAGAAGGAGAGCACAACACAAUGAAGUGGAAAGACGGAGAAGAGACAAGAUCAACAACUGGAUUGUCACCCUCUCAAAGAUCAUCCCAGACUGCAACAUAGACAGUACCAAGACUGGAGCAAGUAAAGGAGGGAUCCUGUCGAAAGCGUGUGACUACAUCCGGGAGCUGAGACAGAAUAACCAGAGAUUGCAGGACAGCUUCAAAGAGGUGUUGAGAGUUCAGGCAGACAACGAGCUACUCAAACAACAGAUUGAGGAGAUGAAGAAUGACAAUGCAUUGCUUCGAGCUCAGCUACAACAGCACGGCAUAGAGAUCAAUGGAGAUACGACACCACAGUGAUCUACUGGACACACACACACUCUUACUUACUCACUGGAACACUGGUAAAAUACAAAUACUUAUAGAAUGCAUGAAAGUACACAUGCUCACGUGUAUGCAUCAUCAGAAAUUGCCACGCAUACACACAGAACAGAGGGCUUGAGAGGAAGAAGUGGACUGCUGACUGAUCAAGCCCCCUCCAACUCCCACACACACUCUCUUCCAAGGCUGAAAGCUCAAAUUCAUGACUCUGUAACUAAAUUAGUUCCGCACUUCUGCUCAAAGAAUAGCCAACACUUCAAAUGUCGUGCAUUCACCUAACUCUGUUUUGUUUUGUUAUGGACAAUGACAAUACACAUUCUGUUUUAACCUGCUGCAGUUUUCCAUUACUUUUUUUGGCAUUUGUUGUGAGUUAUACUACCGUGUCUGACAUGAAUGAAUCCUUUUGUUUGUCAUUUAAUGUAUUAGUUUACAAUUAUAGUGCAAAUAUAGGGCUGAAUUUUGCUGUUCCAUUUUCCCUUAGAGAUUACAAACCAUGGUAGACAUCAGGCACCUUCAUCCUUUGAUGCACACCAUUUCAAAGGGUUGUUUCAUUGUCAAGUGGAGGUAGAUAAGAGAAUAUUGAUUUAAGCUGUUUUAAAGGCCUGCGAUGUAAAGGUAUGGUUGUUGUAUUAACACUAGGCCUGACAUCGCAGACGAUCAGGGCAGUAGGUGAUAGCAUAGCUCAGGUCAUUAGGACAAUAUAUAAUAUUGGUUCCCAAAUAAAUUUCAGUCCCCUCUU